GUGAAAGGACAUUGGCUUCUUUCAAUUAAUGAUAUAGUCACAGGCCAAGAGCUGCAUAAUUAAUGGCAGGGCAAGCAUUCCUAUAAUGCUUCACCAACGUGCCUUAACACUGAUAUACAGGGAUCACCUCUGAGCAUGAAAAGUAGUUUAGUCUCCGUGCCCAUUCAAUUCUUGCCCUCA
rnacentral:sRNA from 1 species